GACCUUGCGCUGAUUGAGCGGCCGGUAUCAGAUUAGCUAGUUGGUGAGGUAAAAGCUCACCAAGGCGACGAUCUGUAGCGGGUCUGAGAGGAUGAUCCGCCACACUGGAACUGAGACACGGUCCAGACUCCUACGGGAGGCAGCAGUGGGGAAUUUUGGACAAUGGGGGCAACCCUGAUCCAGCCAUGCCGCGUGAGUGAAGAAGGCCUUCGGGUUGUAAAGCUCUUUCAGCCGGGAAGAAAAUGCAUGGGUUAAUACCCUGUGCAGAUGACGGUACCGGAAUAAGAAGCACCGGCUAACUACGUGCCAGCAGCCGCGGUAAUACGUAGGGUGCGAGCGUUAAUCGGAAUUACUGGGCGUAAAGCGUGCGCAGGCGGUUUUGUAAGACAGGCGUGAAAUCCCCGGGCUUAACCUGGGAACUGCGUUUGUGACUGCAAGGCUAGAGUACGGCAGAGGGGGGUGGAAUUCCACGUGUAGCAGUGAAAUGCGUAGAGAUGUGGAGGAACACCAAUGGCGAAGGCAGCCCCCUGGGUCGAUACUGACGCUCAUGCACGAAAGCGUGGGUAGCAAACAGGAUUAGAUACCCUGGUAGUCCACGCCCCAAACGAUGUCAACUAGGUGUUGGGAGGGUAAAACCUUUUAGUACCGUAGCUAACGCGAGAAGUUGACCGCCUGGGGAGUACGGCCGCAAGGUUAAAACUCAAAGGAAUUGACGGGGACCCGCACAAGCGGUGGAUGAUGUGGAUUAAUUCGAUGCAACGCGAAAAACCUUACCUACCCUUGACAUGUCAGGAACUUUCCAGAGAUGGAUUGGUGCCCGAAAGGGAACCUGAACACAGGUGCUGCAUGGCUGUCGUCAGCUCGUGUCGUGAGAUGUUGGGUUAAGUCCCGCAACGAGCGCAACCCUUGUCGUUAAUUGCCAUCAUUCAGUUGGGCACUUUAACGAGACUGCCGGUGACAAACCGGAGGAAGGUGGGGAUGACGUCAAGUCCUCAUGGCCCUUAUGGGUAGGGCUUCACACGUCAUACAAUGGUCGGUACAAAGGGUCGCCAACCCGCGAGGGGGAGCCAUUCCCAUAAAGCCGAUCGUAGUCCGGAUUGUAGGCUGCAACUCGCCUGCAUGAAGUCGGAAUCGCUAGUAAUCGUGGAUCAGCAUGUCACGGUGAAACGUUCCCGGGUCUUGUACACACCGCCCGUCACACCAUGGGAGCGGGUUCCGCCAGAAGUAGGUAGCCUAACCGCAAGGGGGGCGCUUACCACGGCGGGGUUCGUGACUGGGGUGAAGUCGUAACAAGGUA
rnacentral:rRNA from 1 species